CCUACGGGUGGCAGCAGUGGGGAAUAUUGCACAAUGGGGGAAACCCUGAUGCAGCAACGCCGCGUGAGCGAUGAAUGCCUUCGGGUCGCAAAGCUCUGUCCUAAGGGGAGAAUAAUGACGGUACCUUAGGAGGAAGCCCCGGCUAACUACGUGCCAGCACCCGCGGUAAUACGUAGGGGGCUAGCGUUAUCCGGACUUACUGGGCGUCAAGGGUGCGUAGGCGGCCCUUAAAGUCAGAGGUGAAAGGCUACGGCUCAACCGUAGUAAGCCUUUGAAACUGUAGGGCUUGAGUGCAGGAGAGGAGAGUGGAAUUGCCAGUGUAGCGGUGAAAUGCGUCGAUAUUGGGAGGAACACCAGUUGCGAAGGCGGCUCUCUUGACUGUAACUGACGCUGAGGCACGAAAGCGUGGGGAGCGAACAGGAUUAGAUACCCUGGUAGUC
rnacentral:rRNA from 1 species